CCAACGGCCCUCAUUAGGGCCACAAAUAUAUGAAUCGUACAUUUU
rfam:Thelazia callipaeda genome assembly, scaffold: TCLT_scaffold0000375